GAUGAACGCUGGCGGCGUGCCUAAUACAUGCAAGUCGAGCGAACAGACGAGGAGCUUGCUCCUCUGACGCUAGCGGCGGACGGGUGAGUAACACGUGGAUAACCUACCUAUAAGACUGGGAUAACUUCGGGAAACCGGAGCUAAUACCGGAUAAUAUAUUGAACCGCAUGGUUCAAUAGUGAAAGACGGUUUUGCUGUCACUUAUAGAUGGAUCCGCGCCGCAUUAGCUAGUUGGUAAGGUAACGGCUUACCAAGGCAACGAUGCGUAGCCGACCUGAGAGGGUGAUCGGCCACACUGGAACUGAGACACGGUCCAGACUCCUACGGGAGGCAGCAGUAGGGAAUCUUCCGCAAUGGGCGAAAGCCUGACGGAGCAACGCCGCGUGAGUGAUGAAGGUCUUCGGAUCGUAAAACUCUGUUAAUAGGGAAGAACAAAUGAGUAAGUAACUAUGCACGUCUUGACGGUACCUAAUCAGAAAGCCACGGCUAACUACGUGCCAGCCGCCGCCGUAA
rnacentral:rRNA from 1 species